AUUGAACGCUGGCGGCAGGCCUAACACAUGCAAGUCGAACGGUAACAGGAAGAGGCUUGCUUCUUUGCUGACGAGUGGCGGACGGGUGAGUAAUGUCUGUGAAACUGCCUGAUGGCGGGGGAUAACUACUGGAAACGGUAGCUAUUACAGCAUAUCGUCGCAAGACCAAAGAGGGGGACCUUCGGGCCUCUUGCCAUCGGAUGUGCCCAGAUGGGAUUAGCUAGUUGGUGGGGUAACGGCCCACCCAGGCGACGAUCCCUAGCUGGUCUGAGAGGAUGAUCAGCCACACUGGAACUGAGACACGGUCCAGACUCCUACGGGAGGCAGCAGUGGGGAAUAUUGCACAAUGGGCGCAAGCCUGAUGCAGCCAUGCCGCGUGUGUGAAGAAGGCCUUCGGGUUGUAAAGUACUUUCAUCGGGGAGGAAGAGAGUAAAGUUAAUACCUUGGCGCAUUGACGUUACCCGCAGAAGAAGCACCGGCUAACUCCGUG
rnacentral:rRNA from 1 species